rnacentral:rRNA from 1 species
CCUACGGGUGGCUGCAGUGGGGAAUAUUGGACAAUGGGGGGAACCCUGAUCCAGCCAUGCCGCGUGUGUGAAGAAGGCCCUCGGGUUGUAAAGCACUUUCAGUGAGGAAGAACGCCUGGUGGUUAAUACCCAUCAGGAAAGACAUCACUCACAGAAGAAGCACCGGCUAACUCCGUGCCAGCAGCCGCGGUAAUACGGAGGGUGCGAGCGUUAAUCGGAAUUACUGGGCGUAAAGCGCGCGUAGGUGGCUUGAUAAGCCGGUUGUGAAAGCCCCGGGCUCAACCUGGGAACGGCAUCCGGAACUGUCAAGCUAGAGUGCAGGAGAGGAAGGUAGAAUUCCCGGUGUAGCGGUGAAAUGCGUAGAGAUCGGGAGGAAUACCAGUGGCGAAGGCGGCCUUCUGGACUGACGCUGACACUGAGGUGCGAAAGCGUGGGUAGCAAACAGGAUUAGAUACCCCGGUAGUC